UUAAGUUCAGCGGGUAUCCCUACCUAAUCCGAGGUCAAUCAUUAAAAAAUGGGGGGGUUCUGGCGAGUAUCCACCAGGUGUCUAUAGCGAUGAAAAUUACUACGCUUAGAGCCUGACAGCACUGCCACUGAUUUUAGAGGCUGCCCUUACAGCAGGCCUCAACACCAAGCUGAGCUUGAGGGGUGAUAAUGACGCUCGAA
rnacentral:misc_RNA from 1 species